AAUAUUGGACAAUGAGCGAAAGCCUGAUCCAGCCAUGCCGCGUGUGUGAAGAAUGUCUUCGGAUUGUAAAGCACUUUAAGUUGGGGGGAAGGGCAGUAUGUUAUUACUUGGCUGUUUUGACGUUACCGAAAGAAGAAGCACCGGCUAGCGUCGGUCCAGCAGCCGCGGUAAUACGAAGGGUGCAAGGGUUAAUCGGAAUUACUGGGCGUAAAGCGCGCGUACGUGGUUCGUUAAGUUGGAAGUGAAAGCCCCGGGCUUAACCUGGGAAUUGCUUUCAAAACUGACGAGCUAGAGUACGGUAGAGGGUAGUGGAAUUUCCUGUGUAGCGGUGAAAUGCGUAGAUAUAGGAAGGAACAUCAGUGGCGAAGGCGACUACCUGGACUGAUACUGACACUGAGGUGCGAAAGCGUGGGGAGCAAACAGG
rnacentral:rRNA from 1 species